AGCUGACGAAGACAUUGUUUAUAAACUACGUCACAUCGAAGGUUCGUCACGUUUUCGACAAAUAUGAAUCCCUGGAUUUCCCUUUUAAGAACUUGAAAAGAUACGAGGGUAUCAAGGACACAAGAGAGAUGACAGUUGACGAAUAUAUGGGAUUUCUAACCAGCAUCCACUACGUCAACAUGUAUCUCAUGGACAACCCUGACACGGACAUUCUCAAUGAAAUGAAACAAAAACUAAUAUCGACUUACGAAAAACAAUCAGCUGUCAAUGGACCAAUCAAGGUGAAGAGCAACAGUGAGAUAAUCCUAAUCCUCGGCAGAAAUUAGACUGUUAUUCAAUAAACAAGUUUUCUAGCAUAUUUGGACAUAUUUUUAAAGUAUAUUCUUUAUAUAAAAGUUGAAACCCGCUUUU